rnacentral:rRNA from 1 species
AAAGAGUUAAAUAAUUAUAAAAUUUAUUGUUGCAAAAAUAUUUUUAAUAAUUAUUUUGAAAUGAAAUGUUAUUCGUUUUUAUAAAUAUCUAGUUUUUUUAGAAAAAAAUUUAAUUUUAAAUUUAUUUAUAUUAUUAUUUAAUUGAUUUAAUUAAUAUUCAUAUUUAAUUUUUAUAUUUUAAGGGAUAAGCUUUAAAUUAUAUUUUUAUAAUUAGUUAUUUAAUAUUUGAAAAUUUUAUAAUUUAUAUUGUUAAUAAAUUUUAUUUUUUUAUAAAUAAUUUCAUUAAAAUUAAAAUUUAUUUAAUAUUUAAUUUUUUAUAAAAAAAUUAUUUUUAAUAAUUAAAAUUUAGUUAUAAUGAUAAAAUUAGUAUAUAAUAUUUUAAUAAUAAAAUUUAAAUUAAUUUUAUUUAAUUUUUAAUUAAAUUAAUUAAAAGGAAUUCGGCAAAUAUUUAUAUUCACUUGUUUAACAAAAACAUGUCUUUUUGUAGUUAAUUUAAAGUCUGAUCUGCCCACUGAUUUAAUUAUUAAAGGGCUGCAGUAUUUUGACUGUACAAAGGUAGCAUAAUCAUUAGUCUCUUAAUUGGUGACUUGUAUGAAAGAUUGGAUGAAAUAUAUUCUGUCUCUUAAAUUAAUUUAUAGAAUUUAAUUUUUUAUUUAAAAAGUUAAAAUAAAUUAAAAAGACGAGAAGACCCUAUAGAGUUUUAUAAUUGUUUUUAUUAAUAAUAAUUUAUUUAUUGAUUUAUUUUAAUUUAUUUAAUUAUUUUAUUGGGGUGAUAAAAAAAUAAAAUUAACUUUUUUUAAAAUUUAUUCAUAAAUAAGUGAUUAUUUGAUCCAUUUUUAGUGAUUAUAAGAUUAAAUUACCUUAGGGAUAACAGCGUAAUUUUUUUUUUUAGUUCAAAUAAAAAAAAGAGUUUGCGACCUCGAUGUUGGAUUAAGAUAAAAUUUAAAUGCAGAAGUUUAAAAUUUUUG